ACGGAAGGCAGCAGUGGGGAAUAUUGGGCAAUGGGCGAAAGCCUGACCCAGCGGCGCCGCGUGAAGGAAGAAGGUCUUCGGAUUGUAAACUUCUUUUAUAUGGGACGAAACAAAUGACGGUACCAUAUGAAUAAGCCACGGCUAACUACGUGCCAGCAGCCGCGAUAAUACGUAGGUGGCGAGCGUUAUCCGGAUUUACUGGGUGUAAAGGGUGUGUAGGCGGGAUUGCAAGUCAGAUGUGAAAACUAUGGGCUUAACUCAUAGCCUGCAUUUGAAACGGUAGUUCUUGAGGGUCGGAGGGGUUAUUGGAAUUCCCGGUGUAGAGGUGAAAUGCGUAGAUAUCGGGAGGAACACCGGUGGAGAAGGCGAGUAACUGGACGAUAAAUGACGCUGAGACACGAAAGUGUGGGGAGCAAACAGGAUUAGAUACCAUGGUA
rnacentral:rRNA from 1 species